ACUGUACGCCGGUAGCGCCACGUAACCCUCGCGCCGGCGCAGGCGCGGGGGCGGCAAGGGCCGGCCCGAACACCGCCGACAGGGACCACGCCGGUGAUCCGCCUGCGCCCGAACCGGCCGGAGCGCUACCGGGGACGCCGAAGCCACCAGAGCACCUCACCCUGCAAUGGUGGAGACCUCGAUGGAAAGUCGCCCGCGAUCAAAUACUGG
rnacentral:lncRNA from 1 species